AUUGAACGCUGGCGGCAGGCCUAACACAUGCAAGUCGAACGAGUGGCGGACGGGUGGGUAAUGUCUGGGCAACUGCCUGAUGGAGGGGGCUAACUACUGGAAACGGUAGCUAAUACCGCAUACCAUCGGAUGUGCCCAGAUGGGAUUAGCGAGUAGGUGGGGUAAAGGCUCACCAGGGCGACGCUCCCUAGCUGGUCUGAGAGGCUGACCAGCCAAACUGGAACUGAGACACGGUCCAGAAUCCUACGGGAGGCAGCAGUGGGGAAUAUUGCGCAAUGGGCGAAAGUCUGAUGCAGCCAUGCCGCGUGUAUGAAGAAGGCUUUCGGGUUGUAAAGUACUUUCAGCGGGGAGGCGUUACCUGCAGAAGAAGCACCGGCUAACUCCGUGCCAGCAGCCGCGGUAAUAC
rnacentral:rRNA from 1 species